CCUCUCUCUCCCCAGAACCCAAGCCCUCUCCCUCCCCAGAACCCAAGCCCUCUCCCUCCACAGAUCCCUCUCUUCUCUCCUCCGUUGGAUCUCGCCGUCGAGCUCCUCUCCGCCUUCAACCCUCCUCCGACUCCGACCUCCUCCUCCGCCUUCAGUCCUCCUCCACGAUCUUAACGUCGAGCUCCCUAAACCCUCCUCCCUCUCCCUCCGACCAACUACGACUCCGACUCCGACCUCUACCUCCGCUCCCUCUCAUAUCGCCGCCAGCCUUCACCCCCGUCAGAGCCAAGCCUGCGAGUCCCAUCGCCGACAGUCUUCACCCCCGCGAUCUCGUCAUCGAGCUCCCCAAACCCUCCUCUCCUCUUUGCUCCACUGAGAAGUUUUUGGCACUGAACAGGCUCCAGGUCAGCAAUAGCUUUUAGCGUGAGACAUUAGAUGGGUCAAGAAUCUGGGUGUUGUUGUGUGGAGAACAAGUCAGUUUCAGGUAAAAAUUAUUCUUGAUGUUUGAUCCAAUGGAAACUGAAGAUGGUUGCUCCCAUGUUGUUGAAGAACAAACUCUCAGUUAGAUAACUUAGUUGUGCCAAUUGUUGAUGAGCACUUAAAACCAAAAAUAGGCAUGACUUUCGACAAAUUAGAAGAUGCUGAAAAAUUCUACAGAAAUUACGGAAAGGCCGGAGGUUUUGAUAUCCAUAAUAGUACAACAAAUUAUGGGAAGGAUAGAGAGUUAAUUUGCAAAAGUUAUGUUUGUUCGAAAGAAUGA